GUCUACAGCCAUACCACCCUGAACGUGCCCAAUCUCAUCUGAACUUGGAAGCCCUGGUUAGUACUUGGAUGGAAGACAAAUCUUCAAAAGAGACUGUUCAGA
rnacentral:rRNA from 1 species